GAUGAACGCUGGCGGCGUGCCUAAUACAUGCAAGUCGAGCGAACAGACGAGGAGCUUGCUCCUCUGACGUUAGCGGCGGACGGGUGAGUAACACGUGGAUAACCUACCUAUAAGACUGGGAUAACUUCGGGAAACCGGAGCUAAUACCGGAUAAUAUAUUGAACCGCAUGGUUCAAUAGUGAAAGACGGUUUUGCUGUCACUUAUAGAUGGAUCCGCGCCGCAUUAGCUAGUUGGUAAGGUAACGGCUUACCAAGGCAACGAUGCGUAGCCGACCUGAGAGGGUGAUCGGCCACACUGGAACUGAGACACGGUCCAGACUCCUACGGGAGGCAGCAGUAGGGAAUCUUCCGCAAUGGGCGAAAGCUUGACGGAGCAACGCCGCGUGAGUGAUGAAGGUCUUCGGAUCGUAAAACUCCGUUAUUAGGGAAGAACAAAUGUGUAAGUAACUAUGCACGUCUUGACGGUACCUAAUCAGAAAGCCACGGCUAACUACGU
rnacentral:rRNA from 1 species